GACGAACGCUGGCGGCGUGCCUAAUACAUGCAAGUCGAACGCUUCUUUCCUCCCGAGUGCUUGCACUCAAUUGGAAAGAGGAGCGGCGGACGGGUGAGUAACACGUGGGUAACCUACCCAUCAGAGGGGGAUAACACUUGGAAACAGGUGCUAAUACCGCAUAACAGUUUAUGCCGCAUGGCAUAAGAGUGAAAGGCGCUUUCGGGUGUCGUUGAUGGAUGGACCCGCGGUGCAUUAGCUAGUUGGUGAGGUAACGGCUCACCAAGGCCACGAUGCAUAGCCGACCUGAGAGGGUGAUCGGCCACACUGGGACUGAGACACGGCCCAGACUCCUACGGGAGGCAGCAGUAGGGAAUCUUCGGCAAUGGACGAAAGUCUGACCGAGCAACGCCGCGUGAGUGAAGAAGGUUUUCGGAUCGUAAAACUCUGUUGUUAGAGAAGAACAAGGACGUUAGUAACUGAACGUCCCCUGACGGUAUCUAACCAGAAAGCCACGGCUAACUACGUG
rnacentral:rRNA from 1 species